UACGGGGGGAGCAAGCGUUGUUCGGAUUUACUGGGCGUAAAGGGCGCGUAGGCGGUCAGCACAAGUCAGUUGUGAAAUCUCCGGGCUUAACCCGGAAAGGUCAACUGAUACUGUGCGACUAGAGUGCGGAAGGGGCAACUGGAAUUCUCGGUGUAGCGGUGAAAUGCGUAGAUAUCGAGAGGAACACCUGCGGCGAAGGCGGGUUGCUGGGCCGACACUGACGCUCAUGCACGAAAGCUAGGGGAGCGAACAGG
rnacentral:rRNA from 1 species